rnacentral:rRNA from 1 species
CCUACGGGUGGCAGCAGUGGGGAAUAUUGCACAAUGGGGGAAACCCUGAUGCAGCGACGCCGCGUGAGUGAAGAAGUAUUUCGGUAUGUAAAGCUCUAUCAGCAGGGAAGAAGCAAGACGGUACCUGACUAAGAAGCCCCGGCUAACUACGUGCCAGCAGCCGCGGUAAUACGUAUGGGGCAAGCGUUAUCCGGAUUUACUGGGUGUAAAGGGAGCGUAGACGGUAUGGCAAGUCUGAAGUGAAAGCCCAGGGCUUAACCCUGGGACUGCUUUGGAAACUGUUUAACUAGAGUGCAGGAGAGGUAAGUGGAAUUCCUAGUGUAGCGGUGAAAUGCGUAGAGAUUAGGAAGAACACCAGUGGCGAAGGCGACUUACUGGACUGUAACUGACGCUGAGGCAUGAGAGCAUGGGGAGCAAACAGGAUUAGAUACCCCUGUAGUC